rnacentral:lncRNA from 1 species
CACUGCUCUAAAGGGAAGUCCUUUCUGCCACCACCCCAACCACUUAUUCUCACUUUUUCUCCUGUGCUCACAGUAGCAUUCACGCAGCCACAAGAAUCAGACCAGCACAGAAUGGUCAGGUUUCAGCAUCACCAUUUGGAUUCACAGAUGCCAGUGCCUACACAAGGACACGGACACCUCCUCCUUCCAGUUCUCCGGUCCUUCUCCACCUCACAUCCAGCCCAACCCCAACUGCAUCUCUAUCUGCACAAUGGACUAGAGGUGAGAGACCUGGAGAGUAUGAGUCCUGCAUACAAACAGGUAGGUGGGUUUCAUCCCUUAAGUUCUCUGUACUGGCCACGGCAAGAAAGUUAUGUUCAAGAGAAAGAGGUUUUGCCUACCUGUCUCCCAGGCACUAAAGAAUUUCCUUUUUCCUGCCUGCACAACAGAUUUCCCCAACAGCCACUUUGCUGCGUAGAGCAGAGCGCUCUCUACAUGUUUCGAGUGCUCUGUACUCUGUGUGGGUGCAGAUCUGUCCCCUGAACCCUGGCACUACUCUCUCUUACUGCUGCUGUGGGAAGGACCUGCCAGACUGAGAGAGCAGCAGGUGGGUACAAGAGGCACGUUUUCUUUUUUAUUUUUUACAUUGCUGUGAUACAGCAGGCAGAGGAUACUCGCUUGAGAGAACCCCUUAUGUAAGAGAUUUUAUCUGUCAGUGUGCAUUGCCUAAUGCCAUCCCCAGAUAGAAGCCCCGCAGAGUGCUUUGCAUGAAAAAGGCAGCAUGGCCAGACUCAUCUCCACUUCCAGCAAUCUAGGUCAUUGAGGGACACAUCAUUUAGAGCACGAGGAAGCAGUAAGCAAGAAGAAAUGCAAAGCCUUCUCUGUUCUAG